GAUCCAAGCAUGGCAAUUACCCCGACUAAGUCGGGGAGGAAAGUCCGAACUCCGUAGAGCAGGGUGCCGGGUAACACCCGGGUUCCGCAUUGCGAAAGCAGCCGGAAACGGCUAGUGCCGCAGAAAACAUACUACCAGUCUGUUUAGACUGGUAAAGGUGAAAUGGCGGGGUAAGAGCCCACCGCUUCGGUAGUAAUACCGAGGGUCCCUUUUAAGGGAGUCCGUCGUUUGAUGGAUCAAGGUAAACCCCACUCGGAGCAAGGUCAAACAGAAGGUUCUUCAUUUUUGAAGUGCGGGUUGCUCGCCCGUUUUCCUUCGGGUAGACCGCUAGAUUCCAAUAGUAAUAUUGGAACAAGAUAAAUAAUUGCCGUCCGUCAACCGGCGGAUUACAGAAUUCGGCUUAUAUGCUUGGUCUUUU
rnacentral:RNase_P_RNA from 1 species